rnacentral:rRNA from 1 species
AGUGAACGCUGACGGUAGGCCUAACACAUGCAAGUCGAACGGCAGCACAGUAAGAGCUUGCUCUUACGGGUGGCGAGUGGCGGACGGGUGAGGAAUACAUCGGAAUCUACUUUUUCGUGGGGGAUAACGUAGGGAAACUUACGCUAAUACCGCAUACGACCUACGGGUGAAAGCAGGGGAUCUUCGGAACUUGCGCGAUUGAAUGAGCCGAUGUCGGAUUAGCUAGUUGGCGGGGUAAAGGCCCACCAAGGCGACGAUCCGUAGCUGGUCUGAGAGGAUGAUCAGCCACACUGGAACUGAGACACGGUCCAGACUCCUACGGGAGGCAGCAGUGGGGAAUAUUGGACAAUGGGCGCAAGCCUGAUCCAGCCAUACCGCGUGGGUGAAGAAGGCCUUCGGGUUGUAAAGCCCUUUUGUUGGGAAAGAAAAGCAGCAGGUUAAUACCCCGCUGUUCUGACGGUACCCAAAGAAUAAGCACCGGCUAACUUCGUG